rnacentral:rRNA from 1 species
UACGAAGGGGGCUAGCGUUGCUCGGAAUCACUGGGCGUAAAGGGUGCGUAGGCGGGUCUUUAAGUCAGGGGUGAAAUCCUGGAGCUCAACUCCAGAACUGCCUUUGAUACUGAAGAUCUUGAGUUCGGGAGAGGUGAGUGGAACUGCGAGUGUAGAGGUGAAAUGCUUAGAUAUGACAUAGAACACCCAUUGCGAAGGCAGCUCGCUACACUAUUAUUGACGCUGAGGCACGAAAGCGUGGGGAUCAAACAGG